rnacentral:rRNA from 1 species
CAGUAGCCGCGGUAAUACGUAGGUGGCGAGCGUUGUCCGGAUUUAUUGGGCGUAAAGGGAGUGUAGGCGGUCUUUUAAGUCUGAUGUGAAAGCCCACGGCUCAACCGUGGAGGGUCAUUGGAAACUGGAAGACUUGAGUGCAGAAGAGGAGAGCGGAAUUCCAUGUGUAGCGGUGAAAUGCGUAGAUAUAUGGAGGAACACCAGUGGCGAAUGCGGCUCUCUGGUCUGUAACUGACGCUGAGGCUCGAAAGCGUGGGGAGCAAACAGGAUUAGAUACCCCUGUAGUCCCUGUCUCUUAUAA